GACGAACGCUGGCGGCGUGCUUAACACAUGCAAGUCGAACGGAAAGGCCCUGCUUUUGUGGGGUGCCCGAGUGGCGAACGGGUGAGUAACACGUGAGUAACCUGCCCUUGACUUUGGGAUAACUUCAGGAAACUGGGGCUAAUACCGGAUAGGAGCUCCUGCUGCAUGGUGGGGGUUGGAAAGUUUCGGCGGUUGGGGAUGGACUCGCGGCUUAUCAGCUUGUUGGUGGGGUAGUGGCUUACCAAGGCUUUGACGGGUAGCCGGCCUGAGGGGGUGACCGGCCACAUUGGGACUGAGAUACGGCCCAGACUCCUACGGGAGGCAGCAGUGGGGAAUAUUGCACAAUGGGCGGAAGCCUGAUGCAGCAACGCCGCGUGCGGGAUGACGGCCUUCGGGUUGUAAACCGCUUUCGCCUGUGACGAAGCGUGAGUGACGGUAAUGGGUAAAGAAGCACCGGCUAACUACGUG
rnacentral:rRNA from 1 species